rnacentral:pre_miRNA from 1 species
AGUGGGAUUGCUGGGUCAAAUGGUGGCUCUAUUCCUAGAUUUUUGAGGAAUCUCUAAACUGUUUUCCAGAGUGGUUGUACUAAUUUGCAUUCCCACCAACAAU